AGUUCACUACACCUAUUCCCAUGGCACACUUGCAGAGCAUUCAAGAUGUCCUGAUGCUGUUAUUCAUUGACAUUUCUUUCUCUUUUUGGGGAAGAAUGUGAAGAAAAGAGAAAAACAGAUUAGGAAGAGAUUGCCAAGGGGCUGUCCCUGAGAGCGAUGGAGUUUGAAUGUACAGCAGCAGAGCACCAGGGACUUGUGAUCAUCACUGGAUCUCCCCAAAGGCUUGCAAAUAAAGCAUUUUUAAAUUCUG